UACGUAGGGGGCUAGCGUUGUCCGGAAUCAUUGGGCGUAAAGAGCGUGUAGGCGGUCCGGUAAGUCCGCUGUGAAAGUCGGGGGCUCAACCCUCGAAUGCCGGUGGAUACUGUCGGUCUAGAGUGCGGAAGAGGCGAGUGGAAUUCCUGGUGUAGCGGUGAAAUGCGCAGAUAUCAGGAGGAACACCAAUGGCGAAGGCAGCUCGCUGGGACGGUACUGACGCUGAGACGCGAAAGCGUGGGGAGCAAACAGG
rnacentral:rRNA from 1 species